rnacentral:sRNA from 1 species
AUCAACUUUCGAUGGUAGGAUAGAGGCCUACCAUGGUGGUAACGGGUAACGGGGUGUUAGGGCACGACACCGGAGAGGGAGCCUGAGAAACGGCUACCACAUCCAAGGAUGGCAGCAGGCGCGCAAAUUACCCAAUCCCGACACGGGGAGGUAGUGACAAUAAAUAACAAUACGGGGUCCUUUCGGGUUUCGUAAUUGGAAUGAGUACAAUUUAAAUCUCUUAACGAGGAACAAUUGGAGGGCAAGUCUGGUGCCAGCAGCCGCGGUAAUUCCAGCUCCAAUAGCGUAUAUUAAAGUUGUUGCAGUUAAAAAGCUCGUAGUUGAAUUUCGGGAUCAGUGCGCUGGUCGUGCCUUGUGUAUGUACUGGUGCUACUGGUUCCUACCUUCUGACGAACCGUCAUGUCAUUAAUUUGGUGUGGCGGGAAAUCAGGACUGUUACUUUGAAAAAAUUAGAGUGUUUAAAGCAGGCUCGCGCUUGAAUACAUUAGCAUGGAAUAAUGAAAUAGGACGUUCGAUCCUAUUUUGUUGGUUUCUAGGAUUGACGUAAUGAUUAAUAGGGAUAGUUGGGGGCAUUAGUAUUCAAUUGUCAGAGGUGAAAUUCUUGGAUUUAUUGAAGACUAACUACUGCGAAAGCAUUUGCCAAGGAUGUUUUCAUUAAUCAAGAACGAAAGUUAGGGGAUCGAAGACGAUCAGAUACCGUCGUAGUCUUAACCAUAAACUAUGCCGACUAGGGAU